rnacentral:rRNA from 1 species
AUACGGAGGGUGCAAGCGUUAUCCGGAAUCACUGGGUUUAAAGGGUGCGUAGGCGGCUAAAUAAGUCAGAGGUGAAAUCUUUCCGCUUAACGGAAAAAUUGCCUUUGAAACUGUAUAGCUUGAAUGAAGUUGAGGUUAGCGGAAUGUGACAUGUAGCGGUGAAAUGCAUAGAUAUGUCAUAGAACACCAAAUGCGAAGGCAGCUAGCUAGGCUUGAAUUGACGCUGAGGCACGAAAGCGUGGGGAGCGAACAGGAUUAGAAACCCCAGUAGUCC